UGGGCAACCUGCCCCUCUCUCUGGGAUAACCCCGGGAAACCGGAGCUAAUACCGGAUACUCCGGCUGGAUCGCAUGGUCCGGCCGGGAAAGGUCCGCCGGAGAGGGAUGGGCCCGCGGCCUAUCAGCUUGUUGGUGGGGUCAUGGCUCACCAAGGCGACGACGGGUAGCUGGUCUGAGAGGACGACCAGCCACACUGGAACUGAGACACGGCCCAGACCUCCGUACGGGAGGCA
rnacentral:rRNA from 1 species